rnacentral:rRNA from 1 species
GCAAGCGUUAAUCGGAUUGACUGGGCGUAAAGCGCGUGUAGGCGGCUUUAAUAAGUGAAUUGUGAAAGUCCUGGGCUUAACCUAGGGAUUGCGGUUCAUACUGUUAGGCUAGAGUCUAGGAGAGGAAAGUAGAAUUUCCGGUGUAGCGGUGAAAUGCGUAGAUAUCGGAAAGAAUACCAGUGGCGAAGGCGACUUUCUGGCUUAAGACUGACGCUGAGACGCGAAGGCGUGGGUAGGC